GAUGAACGCUGGCGGCGUGCUUAACACAUGCAAGUCGAGCGAUGAAGUUUCCUUCGGGAAAUGGAUUAGCGGCGGACGGGUGAGUAACACGUGGGUAACCUACCCAUCAGAGGGGGAUAACACUUGGAAACAGGUGCUAAUACCGCAUAACAGUUUAUGCCGCAUGGCAUAAGAGUGAAAGGCGCUUUCGGGUGUCGCUGAUGGAUGGACCCGCGGUGCAUUAGCUAGUUGGUGAGGUAACGGCUCACCAAGGCCACGAUGCAUAGCCGACCUGAGAGGGUGAUCGGCCACACUGGGACUGAGACACGGCCCAG
rnacentral:rRNA from 1 species